AUGGACGCUGCACCUGUGUGUGUGCGCACGGACGCUGCACCUGUGUGUGUGUGUGCACAUGGACGCUGCACCUGUGUGUGUGUGUGCACGCACAGACGCUGCACCUGUGUGUGUGUGUGCGCACGGACGCUGCACCUGUGUGUGUGUGUGCGCACGGACGCUGCACCUGUGUGUGUGUGCAUGCACGGACGCUGCACCUGUGUGUGUGGGUGUGCACGGAUGCUGCACCUGUGUGUGUGUGUGUGUGCGCACGCAUGGACAAUGCACCUGUGUGUGUGUGUGUGCACGCACGGACGCUGCACCUGUGUGAGUGCACGCAUGGACGCUGCACCUGUGUGUGUGUGUGUGUGCACGCACGGACGCUGCACCUGUGUGUGUGUGUGCACAUGGACGCUGCACCUGUGUGUGUGUGCGCACAUGGAUGCUGCACCUGUGUGUGUGUUUGCACGCACGGAUGCUGCACCUGUGUGUGUGCACGCACGGAUGCUGCACCUGUGUGUGUGUGUGUGCAUGGACGCUGCACCUGUGUGUGUGUGUGCAUGCACGGACGCUGCACCUGUGUGUGUGUGUGCACACACGGACGCUGCACCUGUGUGUGUGUGUGCGCGCGCACGGACGCUGCACCUGUGUGUGUGUGCACACACGGAUGCUGCACCUGUGUGUGUGCACACACGGAUGCUGCACCUGUGUGUGUGUGUGUGCACGCAUGGACGCUGCACCUGUGUGUGUGUGUGCACGCGCACGGACGCUGCACCUGUGUGUGUGUGUGCACACACGGAUGCUGCACCUGUGUGUGUGUGUGCACGCAUGGACGCUGCACCUGUGUGUGUGUGUGAGUGCACGCACGGAUGCUGCACCUGUGUGUGUGUGUGUGUGUGCGCACACACGGACGCUGCACCCGUGUGUGUGUGUGUGUGUGCACGCACGGACGCUGCACCUGUGUGUGUGUGCACGCACGGACACUGCACCUGUGUGUGUGUGUGUGCAUGCACAGAUGCUGCACCUGUGUGUGUGUGCACGCACGGACACUGCACCUGUGUGUGUGCACAUGGACGCUGCACCUGUGUGUGUGUGUGUGCAUGCACGGAUGCUGCACCUGUGUGUGUGCACAUGGACGCUGCACCUGUGUGUGUGUCUGUGUGUGUGCAUGCACGGAUGCUGCACCUGUGUGUGCACAUGGACGCUGCACCUGUGUGUGUGUGUGCACGCACGGAUGCUGCACCUGUGUGUGUGUGUGUGCACGCAUGGACGCUGCACCCGUGUGUGUGUGUGUGCACGCAUGGAUGCUGCACCUGUGUGUGUGCACAUGGACGCUGCACCUGUGUGUGUGUCUGUGUGUGUGUGCAUGCAUGGAUGCUGCACCUGUGUGUGUGA
rnacentral:lncRNA from 1 species